rnacentral:rRNA from 1 species
CACGUAGGGCGCAAGCGUUGUCCGGAAUUAUUGGGCGUAAAGAGCUCGUAGGCGGUUUGUCGCGUCGACUGUGAAAACCUGGGGCUUAACUCUGGGCCUGCAGUCGAUACGGGCAGACUUGAGUUCGGUAGGGGAGACUGGAAUUCCUGGUGUAGCGGUGAAAUGCGUAGAUAUCUGGAGGAACACCGGUGGCGAAGGCGGCAUCCUGGACCAAUUCUGACACUGAGGAGCGAAAGCCAGGGGAGCAAACGGG